rnacentral:tRNA from 1 species
CGGAGAAUGGCAUGUUCUGGAUAAUGCUUCUGUUUUGAAAACAGAAGAAUCAAAGUUUUGAUUCUUUUCUUCCGU